rnacentral:misc_RNA from 1 species
GAUGAAGAACGCAGUGAAAUGCGAUAAGUAGUGUGAAUUGCAGAAUUCAGUGAAUCAUCGAAUCUUUGAACGCACAUUGCGCCCGCUAGUAUUCUGGCGGGCAUGCCUGUCCGAGCGUCAUUUCAACCCUCAAGCCCCCGGGCUUGGUGUUGGGGAUCGGCGAGCCUCCGCGCCCGCCGUCCCCUAAAUCUAGUGGCGGUCUCGCUGUAGCUUCCUCUGCGUAGUAGCACACCUCGCACUGGGAAACAGCGCGGCCACGCCGUUAAACCCCCAACUUCUGAACGUUUGACCUCGGAUCAGGUAGGAAUACCCGCUGAACUUAAGCAUAUCAAUAAGCGGAGGA